ACGAACGCUGGCGGCGUGCCUAAUACAUGCAAGUCGAACGAGAGCGACCGGUGCUUGCACUGGUCAAUCUAGUGGCGAACGGGUGAGUAACACGUGGGUAACCUGCCCAUCAGAGGGGGAUAACAUCCGGAAACGGAUGCUAAAACCGCAUAGGUCUUCGAACCGCAUGGUUUGAAGAGGAAAAGAGGCGCAAGCUUCUGCUGAUGGAUGGACCCGCGGUGCAUUAGCUAGUUGGUGAGGUAACGGCUCACCAAGGCCGUGAUGCAUAGCCGACCUGAGAGGGUGAUCGGCCACAUUGGGACUGAGACACGGCCCAAACUCCUACGGGAGGCAGCAGUAGGGAAUCUUCCGCAAUGGACGCAAGUCUGACGGAGCAACGCCGCGUGAGUGAAGAAGGUGUUCGGAUCGUAAAACUCUGUUGUUAGAGAAGAACAAGUGCUAGAGUAACUGUUAGCGCCUUGACGGUAUCUAACCAGAAAGCCACGGCUAACUACGUG
rnacentral:rRNA from 1 species